rnacentral:SRP_RNA from 1 species
CGUUGGUAGCUCACGAUUGUAGUGCUCGGAAUCCGCCAGGCCUGGAAGGGAGCAACGGUACAAGUAUCUGCUUUGUGUGGGCUGCCACUUUUU